AGGGGGUGGUCUCCAAUCAAACAGAGAAAAGGUCCUGGAGAAGAUGUAUCUUUAAAGCUGUCCUGCUGAAUUGGAAGUCCCUGGAGGGCAGAACUGGCACCCUGUUCAAUCUGGAAUGCCCAGAAAUUCAAUCAACAGAAGUCAGUAUUGAUUUCACACCCUCCUGGACCCCUAUUUGAGUCUCUGUGUGGUGGCCCCUCUCCCCGGAAGUGAAGUCUUCCAGACUAUGAACUUCUGGUGAGAUUCCUAACACUACCAACCUCAGGAGUACAGAGCCCAGAGAAAGUCCAUUGGGGUCCAUUUUCAGGAUGGUGCAUAUGGGAACAAUAAUUUAUGAACGAUCUAUGAGCUAGAAGACAGCUGGGACAGCAAAUUCUUGACUCGCUUAUCAUCAUGUUCCCUUUCCAUGGUCAGCCCAGACUCUGGGCUCCAUCACAACACACUAGUCUGUUCAGCAUGGAGUACCUUUUUUGCCUCUUCUAGUCCAGCCAUCCAGGCAAAUCAAUCAAUACACUAAGUGGCAAUUCAUAAGUGACCCAUCGUGUCAAGCUGGAGAGCAGGAGGGACACCCAGCUUUUUAAAGCGAGCUUAUCAAUCACUGUAUCCCGAAUAAGCAUCUUCAUCCCAGCUACAGAAAAUAGAAGGCUGUAGAAAAGAACAGGAGGCUAGCCAUGCUUUCAACCUUAUUUUAAAGUAAUUAUAUGAAAAAAGUCUGUGUUUAUAAACUAAUAAAUUAUACACUUUUAAAAU
rnacentral:lncRNA from 1 species